CGUACCUUUUGCAUCAUGAUUUAGCCAGCACCCUCAAGCAAAGAGCACUUUAGUUUGACCACCCGAAAUUAGGUGAGCUACUCCAAGACAGCCUAUCCAUAAGGGCAAACCCGUCUCUGUGGCAAAAGAGUGGGACGAGCUUCGAGUAGAGGUGACAGACCUACCGAACCUAAUUAUAGCUGGUUGCCUGGGAACUGGAUAGAAGUUCAGCCCUACGGCUUCUCCUUCCCAACCCGUUCCAACACACCCCUGGCACUUUAGAGAAACCGUACGAGUUAGCCAAAGGAGGUACAGCCCCUUUGAACCAAGAAACAACUUUACCAGGAGGGUAUCAAUCAUAUUAUUUAAGGCAAAAUGCCAAGGUGGGCCUAAAAGCAGCCAUCCUUAUAGAAAGCGUUACAGCUCAAGCAUUUCCCACGCCCAUUAUACCGAUAACCCAAUUCCAACCCCCUAACCUUACCAGGCCAUCCUAUGCACACAUAGGAGUGACCAUGCUAAUAUGAGUAAUAAGAGGACACGCCCCUCUCCCUGCACACGUGUA
rnacentral:rRNA from 1 species